rnacentral:lncRNA from 1 species
GGGGACUCUUGGUGAGCACCGGCUGAGUGGCCCACAGCAGGGCUUUGGGGGAACCAGUUGGCCAGCUGGAGAAAGUGGGGAGUCCUUCCAUGUCCCUGUGCAGCCUCCCCUGGAGUUCUUUCUGUUCUAGUAGUUGUCACUUUCGGCACACGAGGUCAGUAAGUAGCACCAGGGCGAAGAGCACCAUGGUCUAGAGACCACCAAAGCAGCCCGAAGACACUGAGGGACAAGGUCAGAGUGGGGCAGGAGGGGGCACACCCUCCACCCAGCAGUCAAGCACGCGCGCGCGUGCACACACACACACACACACACACACACAGGCCAACCACAUGCACAAGAAAAAGGCCGGACGAGUAUCUGAAGUGCCAGAGUCCCCACCCUGGCAUAGGAGAAAAUGUUCAUCAGUAAGUGAAUGGGUGACAAAAGGAAGAAGUCCUGACCACAGCUGCACUGGGCAGUCUGGUAGACUUUGCAGCUUGGUCACACCAGACUAGAAGAGCCUACCACUCCCGUCUUGGGAAUGCAAACACAGCUCCUUCUCAUCUCCUGGCCUUCUGGAACCUUCUGUUCCACUUCGGUGGAAGAACUGGCUCCACUCCAUGCCAGCCAGGGACACAGGGGUCCUGUGGUAUUUCCUUUGACAAAGCAGGACAGGACCACAAGCAAGUCAUACAAGUGAUUUCUAGAAGCUAGAAAAGGAAAGAAAACAGAUUCUAUUCCAGGACUUUGAAAAGGAAUGCAGCUCUGUCAACACCUUGAUGUUAGAACAUCUGACCUCUAGAACUGUAAGAGAAUAAAUUGAAGGGCCGGGGAUUUAGUUCAGUGGUUUCACCACCUGCUGUGCAAGCCCAAGGACCCAAGUUCAAUCCCCGGUACCAAAAAAAAAAAAGAGAAUAAAUUGAUAUUGUUUAAGCCAC